AUCGCGGUAGCCCAGUUGGUAGUGGCGUUAGCAGUAGGUACAGACGCUGAUGGUCGCAGGUUCUAAUUCUGCCUGCGGUA